rnacentral:lncRNA from 1 species
GCGAGCCCCGUUGUCUGCCGAGGGUCACCGCGGCCACGGGCGCCGCGCCAGGCCAGGCCUCCCCCGGGAGCGGCGCUGGCUGCCUUCCUCCUGGCUCCUCUUCCACAACCGCCUCCACUGUCCCCUCCCCAAGGGCCCCGGCCGGAGGCGGCGGCGGAGGCUUUUGGGACAGCGCGGGGACACGGAGCGCUGCAGGGCUCACAGCUGCAGUUUCCAGGAUGUCCUUCUCUUUCUGGCUGUAAUCUCGAGGACAAAAAGCCCACAUGACUUUUCCUCAACGGAUCUCAAUCUGCAGGAAUAGAAAUACGGUGUCAGUUGCAAACUAUUUCCUAAUCAUGGGGUUAGUGUUUGAAAGUCGCCAAAGAGCUCAGACAUGCCUGGGAAUACACGCUGCCCCCAAAGGUGCUGGGAGUCACGGUCAGGGGGAAGUAAAGCAGGUCUGGGGUACAGAUGGCUGGUGCAGCCCUGCUUCCUCCUAGCUUGCCUUGCCUGGAGACAAAACAAAACACCCGAGACCCUCGCUGGCAUGGCCAAGGUCACCUGGAUGUCUGCGACCUGCCAGACCUCAGCAAGGCCUAGCAGCACAAAGGAACCCUGCGGCCUUUGUAUCUCCCUCCCAAGAUGAGACUGCUUGGGUGUGGCUGCUGGGUGAGGCACCUGUACGGUUGCUCUCCCUGAGUGUCAGGAGCAGAUUACUCUGCAGCAAGAAUAUCUACAUUCACUUGCUCAGAGAUUCAGUCAUUCUUGAGAUGUCUUUCCAAAUGUUCAUCUUCGCGCUGCCCAACAUGUCCCCAGAACGCCAAGCUGCCUGAGUUGCAGACCCCAUUACAGUGCCUGUGCCACCCGGAUUAAUCACUGUUAGACUUUUACAGCACGGCCUGCACUGGGCCUGGGACUGAGCCGCGUCUCCCGUCCCUUUGUAUUACCAUACCCCACAAACUGCUCUUCACUUUGGAACUGAAACGUGCAACUGGAAGGUUGAAAUAAAGAGUUUUUGAUGGGACUGUAAGAUGUGAAGAAGGGCAAGUAUGUGCUUGGAGGAUUUUUUUUAAAUGCUCAGGGCUUUCCCUUGCAGAAGCUACUUCACUGCACUGCACAUUCCUUCCAAUGGGUAUUUUUAAAAUGACUAUGAAUCUUUCAGUUAGGGUCUACUUUAAACAGAGGUUACAGCAGCAUGAUUGCACUUCACUGCACUGUAAGGCCA